rnacentral:rRNA from 1 species
GGACCCGCACAAGCGGUGGAGCAUGUGGUUUAAUUCGAUGCAACGCGAAAAACCUUACCUACUCUUGACAUACUUGGAAGCUCUUGUAAUGAGAGUGUGCCUUUUGGAACCAAGAUACAGGUGCUGCAUGGCUGUCGUCAGCUCGUGUCGUGAGAUGUUCCGUUAAGUCGGAUAACGAGCGCAACCCUUACCCUUAUUUGCCAGCGAUUCGGUCGGGAACUAUAAGGGGACUGCCGGUGAUAAACCGGAGGAAGGUGAGGACGACGUCAAGUCAUCAUGGCCCUUACGAGUAGGGCUACACACGUGCUACAAUGGGGAAUACAGACGGCUGCUAACCCGCGAGGGGGAGCUAAUCCGACAAAACUUGUCGUAGUCCGGAUCGAAGUCUGCAACUCGACUUCGUGAAGUCGGAAUC